rnacentral:rRNA from 1 species
AACGCGUUAAAUCGACCGCCUGGGGAGUACGGCCGCAAGGUUAAAACUCAAAUGAAUUGACGGGGGCCCGCACAAGCGGUGGAGCAUGUGGUUUAAUUCGAUGCAACGCGAAGAACCUUACCUGGUCUUGACAUCCACAGAACUUUCCAGAGAUGGAUUGGUGCCUUCGGGAACUGUGAGACAGGUGCUGCAUGGCUGUCGUCAGCUCGUGUUGUGAAAUGUUGGGUUAAGUCCCGCAACGAGCGCAACCCUUAUCCUUUGUUGCCAGCGGUCCGGCCGGGAACUCAAAGGAGACUGCCAGUGAUAAACUGGAGGAAGGUGGGGAUGACGUCAAGUCAUCAUGGCCCUUACGACCAGGGCUACACACGUGCUACAAUGGCAUAUACAAAGAGAAGCGACCUCGCGAGAGCAAGCGGACCUCAUAAAGUAUGUCGUAGUCCGGAUUGGAGUCUGCAACUCGACUCCAUGAAGUCGGAAUCGCUAGUAAUCGUAGAUCAGAAUGCUACGGUGAAUACGUUCCCGGGCCUUGUACACACCGCCCGUCACACCAUGGGAGUGGGUUGCAAAAGAAGUAGGUAGCUUAACCUUCGGGAGGGCGCUUACCACUUUGUGAUUCAUGACUGGGGUGAAGUCGUAACAAGGUAACCGUAGGGGAACCUGCGGUUGGAUCACCUCCUUACCUUAAAGAA